rnacentral:rRNA from 1 species
GACGAACGCUGGCGGCGUGCUUAACACAUGCAAGUCGAACGGUAAGGCCCUUCGGGGUACACGAGUGGCGAACGGGUGAGUAACACGUGGGUGAUCUGCCCUGCACUUCGGGAUAAGCCUGGGAAACUGGGUCUAAUACCGGAAAGGACCUCUGCCUGCAUGGGUGGUGGUGGAAAGCUUUUGCGGUGUGGGAUGGGCCCGCGGCCUAUCAGCUUGUUGGUGGGGUGAUGGCCUACCAAGGCGACGACGGGUAGCCGGCCUGAGAGGGUGACCGGCCACACUGGGACUGAGAUACGGCCCAGACUCCUACGGGAGGCAGCAGUGGGGAAUAUUGCACAAUGGGCACAAGCCUGAUGCAGCGACGCCGCGUGAGGGAUGACGGCCUUCGGGUUGUAAACCUCUUUCAGCACCGACGAAGCGCAAGUGACGGUAGGUGCAGAAGAAGGACCGGCCAACUACGUGCCAGCCGCCGCCGUAA